CAGCCGCCGCGGUAAUACGUAGGGUGCAAGCGUUGUCCGGAAUCAUUGGGCGUAAAGCGCGUGUAGGCGGCUCGGUAAGUCUGCUGUGAAAGUCCAGGGCUCAACCCUGGAAUGCCGGUGGAAACUGUCGAGCUAGAGUAUGGAAGAGGCGAGUGGAAUUCCUGGUGUAGCGGUGAAAUGCGCAGAUAUCAGGAGGAACACCAAUGGCGAAGGCAGCUCGCUGGGACGUUACUGACGCUGAGACGCGAAAGCGUGGGGAGCAAACAGGAUUAGAUACCCCGGUAGUCCCUGUCUCUUAUAC
rnacentral:rRNA from 1 species